CCUACGGGUGGCAGCAGUAGGGAAUAUUGCUCAAUGGGGGAAACCCUGAAGCAGCAACGCCGCGUGGAGGAUGAAGGUUUUCGGAUUGUAAACUUCUUUCGUCAGGGAAGAUAAUGACGGUAUCUAACGAAUAAGCACCGGCUAAGUCCGUGCCAGCAGCCGCGGUAAUACGGAGGGUGCAAGCGUUACUCGGAAUGACUGGGCGUAAAGAGCGCGUAGGCGGGUUAGCAAGUCAGAUGUGAAAUCCUAUGGCUUAACCGUGGAACUGCAUUUGAAACUGUUAUUCUAGAGUAUGGGAGAGGUAAGUGGAAUUCUUGGUGUAGGGGUGAAAUCCGUAGAGAUCAGGAGGAAUACUCGUUGCGAAGGCGACCUGCUGGAACAUAACUGACGCUGAUGCGCGAAAGCGUGGGGAGCAAACAGGAUUAGAUACCCUUGUAGUC
rnacentral:rRNA from 1 species